ACCAAGAGGCCUCCGGUAGUGAAGGUUAUCAGUAUGCUUCAAGGAUUGGAAAGUAUUGACUAUAGCAUUUUGGAAUGAAGCGACGUCAAUGAGCCGCUGCAUCGACACUUGUAAGAGUGGGUGGACCGAUGCUGUUGAUGACCUGACGCUGAUUUGCAGCACGGUGAGCCGGUGCGUCAACUCCUAGCCAUCCACAGAUCAUGGCUGGGGGCAUUGGAGACCGGCAUCGACCUGUCUGCGGCUGGCAGCCUCAAGGAGCCUUCCCCGGCCCUGUCGUUUUAGCACACGCUACUCGCCUUCCUCAAUGCAUGUGAACAGGAGUGUCGACUAGCUCAACUUUCUGCUGCAUGCUAGUGUUGGUCCGGAUGUGUUUCCAUUUCCUAGAUGGUCUGAACAAUUGCCAAGAAGGAAGCUACUUGCA